rnacentral:rRNA from 1 species
GACGAACGCUGGCGGCGCGCUUAACACAUGCAAGUCGAGCGAAGCGGCGGACGGGUGAGUAACACGUGAGUAACCUGCCUUAGACAUUGGGAUAGCCUCGGGAAACCGGGUUUAAUACCAAAUGGUCUAAGAUGGACUCGCGUCCCAUUAGCGAGUUGGUGAGGUAACGGCCCACCAAGGCGACGAUGGGUAGCCGGCCUGUGAGGGUGGACGACCACGUUGGAACGGAGAAGCGGUCCAAACUCUACGGGAGGCAGCAGUGGGGAAUAUUGAAAAAUGGAGGGAACUCUGAGGCAGCGACGCGGCGUGAACGAAGAGGGCUUUCGAGUCGUAAAGUUCUUUUAGAUGUGAAGCGGUACCAUAAGAAAAAGCCCCGGCUAACUACGUGCCAGCAGCCGCGGUAAUAC